rnacentral:misc_RNA from 1 species
CUGGAUGCUCUCGCGUGCUCAGUCCUUCCUCCGGCAUCGUAUCGAAUCUAUCGCUCGUGAUCCGCCACCGAAGCUCGUGAUGCGCUGACCGUGUCAUUCGGCCUUCCUCCUGCUCCGAGACGCCUCUUUUAUCCUCGAGAGUACAAUCGAGUCGUGUACUUGCGCGUGCAUCGCAAUAUUUUUACGGCACUUAACCACCAAUAUCUUCCGAAACAACGUUUUUCCUUGUUUCGCAGCGAUUUUGUUUGGAACUUGAAAUAAAAAUUUUUCACUGUCGAUAUUUAAAUCAGAGUUAUCGUAGAAUUCCGAUGGCAUCAAAACUGCUACUAUUGCUCCAUCUGCCGCAGCUAGCCGCUUAUGUUUUUACGCUCUACUAUGCGUUUGUUCUGUUGAAACUGCCAGCUUUCAAACGUCCCGGAGCGACCGGCGACUUCGAUCCUGGCCAAUUGAAGUACUUAACCAUUUGGAACGUGAUUAUCCAAGCGAUAUUCUUCCUUAUAUGCGUCGUUAAUGACUUGUAUGGCACCAACAAAGUUGCUCCGAAAUCCGUGCCUCUCAUUCGCAAGAUUAAGGAUUACUUCCAUGCCACGUACGGCUUCCCUCUCGCCAUGUUCGUGGGUGUCACGUUCUGGAGUCUCAUGUUCGUCGACCGAGAGCUCGUACUGCCGAAAGCCCUGGAUCCUUACUUUCCCUGGUGGCUGAAUCAUCUCAUGCACACUCUCAUAAUGGUAUCAACUGUUUUGGAAAUGAUUGUAGCGCCACGAAAAUAUCCCAAAAGAUCACACGGUUUCACAGGUCUGAUGGUUCUUAUGCUCGUGUAUCUAGUCUGGGUGCACAUAAUCUACAUGAAAAGCGGAAUUUGGGUGUACCCGGUGAUGGAAGUGCUGACUCUGCCACUUCGAAUAUUAUUUUUCCUAGUUCUUCUUGGAUUCAGCAGUAUGCUGUAUUUCGCGGGAGAGGCAUUUAAUCAACUCAUCUGGGGUAACGAACAACAAUAUAUGCAACGAAAAAAUUAUUCCGAAAUAAAGUAGCCUCGCCAGUGGUCACUGGUCGGUGACACCAAAAAAAGCUCUGCCCUCAUCGGUGGUGGUUCUAACACAGCCAAGAAGCCUUCAGGUAAGGCGAGUAAGAAGACGAAAUCGAAGUGAGGAAAGAAUUCGUCGUUGAAACGAUUUUACAUCAAUGCAAGGGAAUUCUCGUGAAGAAGAGGAAGAAGAAGAAGAGAAAAUGAAGGAAAGGACUAAACGAUAAAGCAUAAUUAAAAGCUCACCAAAUUACGAAUGAAACUCACGAGGAUGUGACGCGUUGAAUUAAUCGGAGAAUUUCGCGUGGUUGGAGAGACACGAUAUUAAUGAAAUCGACGAAAAAAGUACGUAAAUAAAAAAGACUCGAAUUCGUGCGGAAAAUGUCGAGCCGGCAGUUUCUACCAUUGAGAAACUGGACAAAUAUGCAUAAUAAAUAGAAAGCUCAUGAUGGUGUUGUAUAUCAAAUGUUGAGCAACGCGCGACUAAGACAUUUUUUCAAAUUGACUUCGAAAGCAAAGUUAUUGUUGCACGCAUUGUUGAAUUUUCAUUUUUUUUUUUUCGAAAAGUCAAUGAUCGUAAAGUGAGGAAGGUUCUGGUUAAUAUUUACUGCAGCAUGCAAAUGCGAGAAUGUGUUCAACCGAAUAAAAUUUUAUGUACGAAA